rnacentral:rRNA from 1 species
AGAGUUUGAUCAUGGCUCAGAGCGAACGCUGGCGGCAGGCCUAACACAUGCAAGUCGAACGGAUCCUUCGGGAUUAGUGGCGGACGGGUGAGUAACACGUGGGAACGUGCCUUUUGGUUCGGAACAACUCAGGGAAACUUGAGCUAAUACCGAAUGUGCCCUUCGGGGGAAAGAUUUAUCGCCAUUAGAGCGGCCCGCGUCUGAUUAGCUAGUUGGUAGGGUAAAGGCCUACCAAGGCUACGAUCAGUAGCUGGUCUGAGAGGAUGAUCAGCCACAUUGGGACUGAGACACGGCCCAAACUCCUACGGGAGGCAGCAGUGGGGAAUCUUGCGCAAUGGGCGAAAGCCUGACGCAGCCAUGCCGCGUGAAUGAUGAAGGUCUUAGGAUUGUAAAAUUCUUUCACCGGGGAAGAUAAUGACUGUACCCGGAGAAGAAGCUCCGGCUAACUUCGUGCCAGCAGCCGCGGUAAUACGAAGGGGGCUAGCGUUGCUCGGAAUUACUGGGCGUAAAGGGAGCGUAGGCGGACAGUUAAGUCAGUGGUGAAAGCCCAGAGCUCAACUCUGGAAUUGCCUUUGAUACUGAUUGUCUUGAGUAUGGGAGAGGUAUGCGGAACUCCGAGUGUAGAGGUGAAAUUCGUAGAUAUUCGGAAGAACACCAGUGGCGAAGGCGGCAUACUGGCCCAUUACUGACGCUGAGGCUCGAAAGCGUGGGGAGCAAACAGGAUUAGAUACCCCGGUAGUCC